rnacentral:rRNA from 1 species
AUUAGUGGGGGACAACAUUCCGAAAGGAAUGCUAAUACCGCAUACGUCCUACGGGAGAAAGCAGGGGACCUUCGGGCCUUGCGCUAAUAGAUGAGCCUAAGUCGGAUUAGCUAGUUGGUGGGGUAAAGGCCUACCAAGGCGACGAUCUGUAGCGGGUCUGAGAGGAUGAUCCGCCACACUGGGACUGAGACACGGCCCAGACUCCUACGGGAGGCAGCAGUGGGGAAUAUUGGACAAUGGGGGGAACCCUGAUCCAGCCAUGCCGCGUGUGUGAAGAAGGCCUUAUGGUUGUAAAGCACUUUAAGCGAGGAGGAGGCUACUAGUAUUAAUACUACUGGAUAGUGGACGUUACUCGCAGAAUAAGCACCGGCUAACUCUGUGCCAGCAGCCGCGGUAAUACAGAGGGUGCGAGCGUUAAUCGGAUUUACUGGGCGUAAAGCGUGCGUAGGCGGCCAUUUAAGUCAAAUGUGAAAUCCCCGAGCUUAACUUGGGAAUUGCAUUCGAUACUGGAUGGCUAGAGUAUGGGAGAGGAUGGUAGAAUU